AGCAAUUAGAGCAGAAGGGGAUCUCAAAGCAUGGAAGAAGAGUUUGCCAGGGAUUUGAGAUUGUAAAGGGCAAGUAUUAGCUGUGAGAGAAGAAUCCAGAGGGCACAGUGCCUUGCUUGUGAGCCUAACUUUUCCUACAGAGCAUAGAGAAAAUAAGAUGCAUGAUGGAGCCUGGUCAGCUCAGAGACUUAAAACAAAAGGGAGAGAACAAUUUUGGUUUCCAACAUCAUUUUGGUCCAUGUUACGCUGUUUUAUUUAAUCCUGCAAUGCCUUGUGUAAAUGCAUGCAAGGUCUCUGAACUACACAAGAGCAGUGGAGGCCAUUUUAUAAGGAAAGUGUUGUGCCUUACAGUCGCUUGAAGAUCAUUUCAAUGUGAAGAAUAGUCCCACUUAGAUUUUCCCACAUAUUUAAAUUUUCUCUGCUGCUGAGUGUUUUAAAUGGGGAUCUCACUCUGCUCAUGGCAACAGUUUUCAAGAGCAAUUACCCAAAGGAGUUGUCAAGUCAAGACACUGUUUCAUUAAAUCUGAGCCGUGAGAGAGCGUUCUCCUCACCAUCAAGAGAGAACUCAAGCACUGCUUUCAGCUUGGGAAACAAAGCACUAUCUACAGAUAGGCAGCAAUUCAGACAUCAGUAUCUUGUCUUUGAACAUCUCUGGUCAGCAAAUUGCUUCAUUAAAUCGUUUUUCUGAUGUUACUUACCAUGGUCUCUUGCUACAUAUGACAUUAAGUAAUUUAAAUCAUAUCAUUUGGAUCAAGCAA